AUUGAACGCUGGCGGCAGGCCUAACACAUGCAAGUCGAACGAGCGGCGGACGGGUGAGUAAUGUCUGGGGAUCUGCCUGAUGGCGGGGGAUAACUACUGGAAACGGUAGCUAAUACCGCAUACCAUCAGAUGUACCCAUAUGGGAUUAGCUUGUUGGUGGGGUAACGGCUCACCAAGUCGACGAUCCCUAGCUGGUCUGAGAGGAUGAACAUCCACACUGGGACUGAGACACGGUCCAGACUCCUACGGGAGGCAGCAGUGGGGAAUAUGGCACAAGGGGCGCAAGCCUGAUGCAGCCAUGCCGAGUGGAUGAAGAAGGCCUGCGGGUUGUAAAGUACUUUCAGCGGGGAGGCGUUACCCGCAGAAGAAGCACCGGCUAACUCCGUGCCAGCAGCCGCGGUAAUUC
rnacentral:rRNA from 1 species